rnacentral:rRNA from 1 species
AGAGCGAACGCUGGCGGCAGGCCUAACACAUGCAAGUCGAGCGCCCGUAGCAAUACGGGAGCGGCAGACGGGAUAGUAACACGUGGGAACGCGCCCUUCGGUUCGGAAUAACUCAGGGAAACUUGAGCUAAUACCGGAUACGCCCUUACGGGGAAAGAUUUAUUGCCGAAGGAACGGCCCGCGUCCGAUUAGCUAGUUGGUGAGGUAAUGGCUCACCAAGGCGACGAUCGGUAGCUGGUCUGAGAGGAUGAUCAGCCUCACUGGGACUGAGACACGGCCCAGACUCCUACGGGAGGCAGCAGUGGGGAAUAUUGGACAAUGGGCGCAAGCCUGAUCCAGCCAUGCCGCGUGGAUGAUGAAGGCCCUAGGGUUGUAAAGUCCUUUCGACGGGGAAGAUAAUGACGGUACCGUAGAAGAGCCCGGCUAACUCGUGCCAGCAGCCGC